rnacentral:rRNA from 1 species
UCCAGAGGGGGCAAGCGUUGUUCGGAAUUACUGGGCGUAAAGGGCGUGCAGGCGGUUUGUUAAGUUCAGGGUGAAAGCUCCCGGCUCAACUGGGAGAGGUCCUUGCAUACUGGCGGACUUGAGGGGGGUAGAGGAAAGUGGAAUUCCCGGUGUAGUGGUGAUAUGCGUAGAUAUCGGGAGGAACACCUGUGGCGAAGGCGGCUUUCUGGGCCCUACCUGACGCUGAGACGCGAAAGCGUGGGGAGCGAACCGG